AUUAAUAUAAAAUACAAAAUAUGUCAUUGUAUUAAGACCACUAUUAGUAAAGCAGAAUGAAAAUAAAUGCAAAAAAAAAAAUCAAAUGACAAACUAGUGACUGUAUAAGCCACGAUGCUGUGAAGUCGUGUCAUGACUCGCUCCAUGUUUCAGGUCAGCAAGUGACUCUUUCACAGCGCGCGCUCUGAUUAAUGACUGGGAACUGUCCUAAGUGCGCUUUUACUCCUCCAGACUGCGAAAGACCCUCUGAACUCCCUGCUGGAAACGCAAAUCCCCGCAGCGCGUGUGUAUGAGCGGAUCUCACGCAAAUGACGCACGGCUGCGUGACGGCGACAGACAUGUGCGCAAACUCUACAGACUGCGUGGGACAUGUUGAGGCAGAACACUCUUGGAAACUGUAACUGUUUCUUCAUGGAUGUACAAACGCAUGGCAUGAAGAUCCGUUUACCCUCAAGAUAUUCACACUACAUGUAUGUGCCAUACAGGAGGAUAAAAGCAAUCAAAUUAAGUGUCCUGCUCCUUCUGCUCCAGCUGCAGUUCAGUCAGACCAAACCCAUCGACUUCAUCUGUGACCCAGAGGUGAGGAGACGCAUGGAUGUGACGGAGACGCUGGAGCCGCUCAUGACCCACUGCUUGGACCAGCUGCCCUCGGACGUCCUGCAGCCGUGUGUCCGGAUAAACAUGGGAGCGUGGAAACAGACAUCAGUGAGUACAGCUCCUUCAUCUAACAAGAAAAAUCAAACCAGAAGAAAAACAUUGACUGAAAUAAAAUAAAAUAUAAAAAAACAUUUUAUUUUAUUUCUUUAUUUUUUAAAAUUUAUUUCAUUACUGAUUUUUUUUGUUUUAUUUCAUUUUAAUUGUUUUAUUUUAUUUUUUUUUUUAUUUUUUUUUUUAUUUGUAUUUUAUUAUAGCUAGUUACCAAGGCAACAUUUGUCAUUUUUAUUUAGAUUAACUUAAUGCUGGAGUAAUCUAGAGCCAUUUAACAUUUUCAUUAAUUGAAAUAAAGUAAAAUAUAAAAAACUUUUUUUUUUUUUA
ensembl:lncRNA